rnacentral:rRNA from 1 species
GAUGAACGCUGGCGGCGUGCCUAAUACAUGCAAGUCGAGCGAACGGACGAGAAGCUUGCUUCUCUGAUGUUAGCGGCGGACGGGUGAGUAACACGUGGAUAACCUACCUAUAAGACUGGGAUAACUUCGGGAAACCGGAGCUAAUACCGGAUAAUAUUUUGAACCGCAUGGUUCAAAAGUGAAAGACGGUCUUGCUGUCACUUAUAGAUGGAUCCGCGCUGCAUUAGCUAGUUGGUAAGGUAACGGCUUACCAAGGCAACGAUGCAUAGCCGACCUGAGAGGGUCAUCGGCCACACUGGAACUGAGACACGUUCCAGACUCCUACGGGAGGCAGCAGUAGGGAAUCUUCCGCAAUGGGCGAAAGCCUGACGGAGCAACGCCGCGUGAGUGAUGAAGGUCUUCGGAUCGUAAAACUCUGUUAUUACGGAAGAACAUAUGUGUAAGUAACUGUGCACAUCUUGACGGUACCUAAUCAGAAAGCCACGGCUAACUACGUG